CUAGAUCAGCGGGCUUCGACCCCACGAAACUUUUAGUUAACAACUAAACACCCAAACCAGCGGGCUUUAAUCUAGGAGUAUGA
rnacentral:tRNA from 1 species